GUCGAACGAUGAAGCCCUUCGGGGUGGAUUAGUGGCGAACGGGUGAGUAACACGUGGGCAAUCUGCCCUUCACUCUGGGACAAGCCCUGGAAACGGGGUCUAAUACCGGAUAACACUCUGUCCCGCAUGGGACGGGGUUGAAAGCUCCGGCGGUGAAGGAUGAGCCCGCGGCCUAUCAGCUUGUUGGUGGGGUAAUGGCCUACCAAGGCGACGACGGGUAGCCGGCCUGAGAGGGCGACCGGCCACACUGGGACUGAGACACGGCCCAGACUCCUACGGGAGGCAGCAGUGGGGAAUAUUGCACAAUGGGCGAAAGCCUGAUGCAGCGACGCCGCGUGAGGGAUGACGGCCUUCGGGUUGUAAACCUCUUUCAGCAGGGAAGAAGCGAAAGUGACGGUACCUGCAGAAGAAGCGCCGGCUAACUACGUGCCAGCAGCCGCGGUAAUACGUAGGGCGCAAGCGUUGUCCGGAAUUAUUGGGCGUAAAGAGCUCGUAGGCGGCUUGUCACGUCGGAUGUGAAAGCCCGGGGCUUAACCCCGGGUCUGCAUUCGAUACGGGCUAGCUAGAGUGUGGUAGGGGAGAUCGGAAUUCCUGGUGUAGCGGUGAAAUGCGCAGAUAUCAGGAGGAACACCGGUGGCGAAGGCGGAUCUCUGGGCCAUUACUGACGCUGAGGAGCGAAAGCGUGGGGAGCGAACAGGAUUAGAUACCCUGGUAGUCCACGCCGUAAACGUUGGGAACUAAGGUGUUGGCGACAUUCCACGUCGUCGGUGCCGCAGCUAACGCAUUAAGUUCCCGCCUGGGGGAGUACGGCCGCAAGGCUAAAACUCAAAAGGAAUUUGACGGGGGGCCCGCACAAGCAGCGGAGCAUGUGGGCUU
rnacentral:rRNA from 1 species